CAAAGCGGAGGAAAAGAAACCAACAGGGAUUGCCUCAGUAACGGCGAGUGAAGCGGCAACAGCUCAAAUUUGAAAUCUGGCUCUUUCAGGGUCCGAGUUGUAAUUUGUAGAAGAUGCUUUGGGUGUAGCUCCGGUCUAAGUUCCUUGGAACAGGACGUCAUAGAGGGUGAGAAUCCCGUAUGUGACUGGGUGCUUUCGCUCGUGUAAAGCUCUUUCGACGAGUCGAGUUGUUUGGGAAUGCAGCUCAAAAUGGGUGGUAAAUUUCAUCUAAAGCUAAAUAUUGGCCAGAGACCGAUAGCGCACAAGUAGAGUGAUCGAAAGAUGAAAAGCACUUUGGAAAGAGAGUUAAACAGUACGUGAAAUUGUUGAAAGGGAAGCGCUUGCAACCAGACUUGCGCGCUGUUGAUCAUCCGAGCUUCUGCCCGGUGCACUCGACAGCGUUCAGGCCAGCAUCGGUUUUGGUGGGCGGAUAAAGGCCUUGGGAAUGUAGCUUCUUUCGGGGAGUGUUAUAGCCCUCGGUGCAAUGCGCCCUACCGGGACCGAGGACCGCGCUCGGCUAGGAUGCUGCGUAUGCCU
rnacentral:rRNA from 1 species